UCGGGAGUGGCGUAAUGGUAGCGCGUCACACUUUGGAUGUGAAGGUUGGGGUUCGACUCCCUGCUCCCGAGCCA
rnacentral:tRNA from 1 species